rnacentral:rRNA from 1 species
GCCUAAAAUCUAGCCCAUAAAACCCCCAUGACCUCACCAACCUUCCACUUUAUAAACAAAACAUUUUAACAUUUUAGUACAGGAGAUCAAAAAAUUACUAAGCGCUUCAGAUAAAGUACCGAAAGGGAAAGAUGAAAUAAAAAUGAAAUAACGUUAAAGCCCUAAACAGUAGAGAUUUUCCCUCGUACCUUUUGCAUCAUGGUCUAGCUAGUCCACCCAAGCAAAAAGAAAUUUUAGUUUGUCACCCCGAAACUAAGCGAGCUACUUCAAAACAGCUUUAAGAGCCAACCCGUCUCUGUUGCAAAAGAGUGGGAAGAUUUUCAAGUAGAGGUGAAAAGCCUACCGAGCUUAGAGAUAGCUGGUUGUUCAGGAAAAGAGUUUUAGCUCUACCUUAAGUUAUACUUAUGCUAUUCAACUAAACCCUUAACUUAAGAGCUAUUCAAAUAAGGCACAGCUUAUUUGAACCAGGAUACAACCUCUAACACCGGGUAAACAAUGGUAAUUCAAAUAAAGUUGGCCUAAAAGCAGCCACCUUUCAAAAAGCGUCAUAGCUUAACUUUAUCUCACCAACAAUUACUUUAAACCCCACGAACCCUUAACCACCACUGAACUAUUUUAUACUACUAUAAAAAAUAUUAUGCUGGAACUAGUAACAAGAAAAUACUUUUCUCCUAAAUGUAAGUAUAAACCAAAACGGACCCACCAUUGGUAAUUAACGUAAAUGCAACCAUUAUAGCAACACAUAACUAGAAAACCCUAUAAUACAUCACGUUAACCUCACACCAGAACAUUACAGGAAAGAUUAAAAGAGAAAGAAGGAACUCGGCAAACCUUAGCCCCGCCUGUUUACCAAAAACAUCGCCUCUUGACACCCAUAAGAGUCCAGCCUGCCCAGUGACACAAUUUAACGGCCGCGGUAUCCUAACCGUGCGAAGGUAGCAUAAUCACUUGUUCUCUAAAUAAGGACUAGUAUCAACGGCAUCACGAGGGCUAUACUGUCUCCUUUCUCCAAUCAGUGAAACUAAUCCCCCCGUGAAGAAGCGGGGAUUUGAAUAUAAGACGAGAAGACCCCAUGGAGCUUAAAGCACUAUAUUCACCACCUUUCUCUUACAACAACUUAAUUCUAAAACCUGAAUAUUAGCUUUUGGCUGGGGGGGCCGCGGAGUAAAACCCAACCUCCGCAACAAAUGGGCUACGCCCUUAUCUAAGAGUUACGACUCUAAGAAUCAACAAACUGAUGUACUUUGACCCGAAUAAUCGAUCAACGAACCAAGUUACCCUGGGGAUAACAGCGCUAUCUACUUCAAGAGCUCAUAUCGACAAGUAGGUUUACGACCUCGAUGUUGGAUCAGGGUAUCCCAGUGGUGCAGCCGCUACUAACGGUUCGUUUGUUCAACGAUUAAAACCCUACGUGAUCUGAGUUCAGACCGGAGCAAUCCAGGUCGGUUUCUAUCUAUAAAGAGUUCCCUCUAGUACGAAAGGACCGAGGUAACAUGGCCAAUAUCCAACAUAAGCCAUCUUCCACCACUAAUGAAGUAAUCUCAAUUAGCUCAGGCCUACUACUUCUCCCUAGACCAGGGAA